rnacentral:sRNA from 1 species
UGGCGCGAAGCUACCGUGCGC